rnacentral:rRNA from 1 species
AGAGUUUGAUCAUGGCUCAGAAUCAACGCUGGCGGCGCGCUUAACACAUGCAAGUCGCACGAGAAAGUGGAGCAAUCCAUGAGUACAGUGGCGUACGGGUGAGUAACACGUGGAUCAUCUGCCUCUUGGUGGGGAAUAACCCUGGGAAACCGGGGCUAAUACCGCAUAAGCCUGCGAAGGGAAAGCAGCAAUGCGCCGAGAGAGGAGUCCGCGGCCGAUUAGCUAGUUGGUAGGGUAAUGGCCUACCAAGGCAAUGAUCGGUAGCCGGCCUGAGAGGGCACACGGCCACACUGGCACUGAAACACGGGCCAGACUCCUACGGGAGGCAGCAGUGGGGAAUCUUGCACAAUGGGGGCAACCCUGAUGCAGCGACGCCGCGUGAGCGAUGAAGCCCUUCGGGGUGUAAAGCUCUUUCGGCAGGAACGAUAAUGACGGUACCUGAAGAAGAAGCUGCGGCUAACUACGUGCCAGCAGCCGCGGUAAUACGUAGGCAGCAAGCGUUGUUCGGAGUUACUGGGCGUAAAGAGUGUGUAGGCGGUUCUCUAAGUUCCGUGUGAAAUCUCCCGGCUCAACUGGGAGGGUGCGCGGAAAACUGGAGGGCUUGAGUAUGGGAGAGGAAAGCGGAAUUCCUGGUGUAGCGGUGAAAUGCGUAGAUAUCAGGAGGAACACCUGCGGUGUAGACAGCUUUCUGGACCAUCACUGACGCUGAGACACGAAAGCGUGGGUAGCAAACAGGAUUAGAUACCCUGGUAGUCCACGCCCUAAACGAUGCAUACUUGGUGUGAGCCGUUCAUUCGGUUCGUGCCGGAGCUAACGCGUUAAGUAUGCCGCCUGGGGAGUACGGUCGCAAGGCUGAACUCAAAGGAAUUGACGGGGCCCGCACAAGCGGUGGAGCAUGUGGUUUAAUUCGACGCAACGCGAAGAACCUUACCUGGGC